rnacentral:rRNA from 1 species
CGCGGCCUAUCAGCUUGUUGGUGAGGUAAAGGCUCACCAAGGCAUUGACGGGUAGCUGGUCUGAGAGGACGAUCAGCCACACUGGGACUGAGACACGGCCCAGACUCCUGCGGGAGGCAGCAGUGGGGAAUCUUGCGCAAUGGGCGAAAGCCUGACGCAGCAACGCCGCGUGGGGGAUGAAGGCUCUCGGGUUGUAAACCCCUUUCAGCAGGGACGAAAUUGACGGUACCUGUAGAAGAAGCCCCGGCCAACUACGUGCCAGCAGCCGCGGUAACACGUAGGGGGCGAGCGUUGUCCGGAAUUAUUGGGCGUAAAGGGCUCGUAGGCAGUUCGGUAAGUCAGAUGUGAAAGGUUGGGGCUCAACCCUAAGACUGCAUUUGAUACUGCCGUGACUAGAGUCCGGUAGAGGAGUGUGGAAUUCCUGGUGUAGCGGUGAAAUGCGCAGAUAUCAGGAGGAACACCGACGGCGAAGGCAGCACUCUGGGCCGGUACUGACGCUGAGGAGCGAAAGCGUGGGUAGCAAACAGGAUUAGAUACCCUGGUAGUCCACGCCGUAAACGUUGGGCACUAGAUGUGGGACCUUAUCAACGGGUUCCGUGCCGUAGCUAACGCAUUAAGUGCCCCGCCUGGGGAGUACGG